rnacentral:rRNA from 1 species
UACAGAGGGUGCGAGCGUUAAUCGGAAUUACUGGGCGUAAAGCGUGCGUAGACGGUAGCGUAAGUCAGAUGUGAAAGCCCCGGGCUCAACCUGGGAACUGCAUUUGAGACUGCUCUGCUCGGGUGCGGAAGAGGGAAGCGGAAUUUCCGGUGUAGCGGUGAAAUGCGUAGAUAUCGGAAGGAACACCAGUGGCGAAAGCGGCUUCCUGGCCUGUAACUGACGCUGAGGCGCGAAAGCGUGGGGAGCAAACAGG